UUUACUGUAGCAGUGGUGCACCAAUAGCUAAAACUUACAUGCAGCCCCUUAAACUCACUUGAUGGCUCUAUAUGACCCUUGGGUGACUUCCCAUAUAUCAAUGGGCUCUAUAUCAACGGUUAUAUGACCCUCGGGUGACACACAUGAGCUGUGGGCUGGCUCUGUAUGACCCUUGGGUGACUUCCUAUAUGUCAAUGGGCCCUAUAUCAACGGUUAUAUGACCCUCAGGUGACACAAACGAGCUGGGCUCACAAAACGUUGCCCACGCGCGUGGGUGUGCAAGCACCUUCUUUC
rnacentral:lncRNA from 1 species